rnacentral:rRNA from 1 species
CCUACGGGUGGCUGCAGUCGAGGAUCUUCGGCAAUGGGCGCAAGCCUGACCGAGCGACGCCGCGUGUGGGAUGAAGGCCUUCGGGUUGUAAACCGCUGUCAGUGGGGAGGAAAUGCCUAGGGGUUCUCCCCUAGGUUUGACCUAUCCGCAGAGGAAGUCAGGGCUAAGUUCGUGCCAGCAGCCGCGGUAAGACGAACCUGACGAACGUUAUUCGGAAUCACUGGGCUUAAAGGGUGCGUAGGCUGUGCAGAAAGUUGGGUGUGAAAUCCCUCGGCUUAACCGAGGAACGGCGCCCAAAACUACUGUGCUCGAGUGAGAUAGAGGUGAGCGGAACUUAGGGUGGAGCGGUGAAAUGCGUUGAUAUCCUAAGGAACACCGGUGGCGAAAGCGGCUCACUGGGUCUCAACUGACGCUGAGGCACGAAAGCUAGGGUAGCGAAC